GACUUGUCGGGCGAUUAGACAUUAAACUACAUAGAGACAGUGUGAGGCAGACUCGCGAGGCUGCUAAGGAUUGUCGGUUUUUUGACGAGAUCAAAGGUGCCUCGCAGUUUUAACUAUGUAAUCUACAUGCAGACAGUGCGAGGAACGCACAUAGCUUUUAUACGUAGCUUUAUAGCGUCACUUUGAAUUCAUCGAGCAAAGAUUCGUAGGUGUCAGAUAUCAAUGCAGAUGUUAAUUUCAUCCCCAUAAAUAUCGCAUAGAAAGAUUCACUUCUACAUUAAUUACGAUACAUGUAUGUACUUGUUUAUCUAAAGAAAACUUUGUUGCUCAUUUUGCGAGACAUAAUUUCGAGACAAAAUAAAAUCAUUGCAAGUUGAAUC
rnacentral:misc_RNA from 1 species